CGGGGUAAGAGCCCACCAAGGCGACGAUCGGUAGCCGACCUGAGAGGGUGAUCGGCCACACUGGAACUGAGAAACGGUCCAGACUCCUACGGGAGGCAGCAGUGGGGAAUAUUGGGCAAUGGGGGAAACCCUGACCCAGCAACGCCGCGUGAGGGAAGAAGGUUUUCGGAUUGUAAACCUCUGUCCUUGGUGAAGAAAAGAAUGACGGUAGCCAAGGAGGAAGCCCCGGCUAACUACGUGCCAGCAGCCGCGGUAAUACGUAGGGGGCGAGCGUUGUCCGGAAUGACUGGGCGUAAAGGGCGUGUAGGCGGCCGAUUAAGUCCGGAGUGAAAGUCCUGCUUUCAAGGUGGGAAUUGCUUUGGAAACUGGUAGGCUUGAGUGCGGAAGAGGUAAGUGGAAUUCCCAGUGUAGCGGUGAAAUGCGUAGAGAUUGGGAGGAACACCAGUGGCGAAGGCGACUUACUGGGCCGUAACUGACGCUGAGGCGCGAAAGCGUGGGGAGCGAACAGGAUUAGAUACCCUGGUAGUCCACGCGGUAAACGAUGAAUGCUAGGUGUAGGGGGUAUCGACCCCUCCUGUGCCGGAGUAAACACAAUAA
rnacentral:rRNA from 1 species